rnacentral:rRNA from 1 species
AGGACGAACGCUGGCGGCGCGCCUAAUACAUGCAAGUCGAACGGACUCGCCUUCGGGUGAGUUAGUGGCGGACGGGUGAGUAACACGUGGGCGACCUGCCUUCGAGUGGGGAAUAACGCUGGGAAACCAGCGCUAAUACCGCAUGCGCUCGGCUUUUCAGUAGGCCGAGGAAAGCUUAAUGCGCUCGAAGAGGGGCCUGCGGCGGAUUAGCUAGUCGGUGGGUUACGCCUACCGAGGCGACGAUCCGUAGCUGGUCUGAGAGGAUGGAUC